AUCCAGCCGACGAAUCCCAGGUAGGACGAAACGCGUCCUGGAU
rnacentral:hammerhead_ribozyme from 1 species